rnacentral:rRNA from 1 species
GACGAACGCUGGCGGCGUGCUUAACACAUGCAAGUCGAACGGAAAGGCCCUGCUUUUGUGGGGUGCUCGAGUGGCGAACGGGUGAGUAACACGUGAGUAACCUGCCCUUGACUUUGGGAUAACUUCAGGAAACUGGGGCUAAUACCGGAUAGGAGCUCCUGCUGCAUGGUGGGGGUUGGAAAGUUUCGGCGGUUGGGGAUGGUCUCGCGGCUUUUCGGCUUGUUGGUGGGGUAGUGGCAGACCAAGGCUUAGACGGAUAGCCGGCCUGAGAGGGGCACCGGCGCCCUGGCGCCUGCGAGAGGGAGCAGUCGGCAAUGGGGGGCAGUAGUCGGGAGUAUUGCCCAGUGGUGGGAAGUCUGAGGCAGAAACGCCGGGUUUGUGAUGACGGCUUGUGGGUUGUGAAAUGCUUGGGCCUGUUACGGAGGGUGGAUGACGGUAAUGGGUAAAUAAGCACCGGCUAACUACGUG